ACCGAGCACGCCGCGUGAGUGAAGAAGGUUUUCGGAUCGUAAAACUCUGUUGUUAGAGAAGAACAAGGAUGAGAGUAACUGUUCAUCCCUUGACGGUAUCUAACCAGAAAGCCACGGCUAACUACGUGCCAGCAGCCGCGGUAAUACGUAGGUGGCAAGCGUUGUCCGGAUUUAUUGGGCGUAAAGCGAGCGCAGGCGGUUUCUUAAGUCUGAUGUGAAAGCCCCCGGCUCAACCGGGGAGGGUCAUUGGAAACUGGGAGACUUGAGUGCAGAAGAGGAGAGUGGAAUUCCAUGUGUAGCGGUGAAAUGCGUAGAUAUAUGGAGGAACACCAGUGGCGAAGGCGGCUCUCUGGUCUGUAACUGACGCUGAGGCUCGAAAGCGUGGGGAGCAAACAGGAUUAGAUACCCUGGUAGUCCACGCCGUAAACGAUGAGUGCUAAGUGUUGGAGGGUUUCCGCCCUUCAGUGCUGCAGCUAACGCAUUAAGCACUCCGCCUGGGGAGUACGACCGCAAGGUUGAAACU
rnacentral:rRNA from 1 species